rnacentral:misc_RNA from 1 species
CGGAAGGAUCAUUAAAAAUGAGACCUCGAUUUUGAAGGUCUAUUAAUAAUCCUAACCCUUUGUGAAUUUUGUUUGUUUAAUUAUGUGUCUUUCCCUGUUGGUUUGAAGCUUUGUUUAAAAGUUUCGAACCUUCAGGGAAUGGCAAAAAACCUUUUUUUAAAUUAAACUUUUUGUAUUCAUUUGUCUAAAAUUAUUUUUAUAAUAUAAAAACACUUUUGACAAUGGAUCUCUUGGUUCUCGCAACGAUGAAGAACGCAGCAAAAUGCGAUAAGUAGUGUGAAUUGCAGAAUACGUGAAUCAUCGAAUCUUCGAACGCAUAUUGCACUUUUUUGGUUUACCAAAAAAAGUAUGUCUGUUUGAGUAUCAGUAAAAUAUUCUCAUAAAAACUAUUUGUUUUUAUGGUUAUGAGUGUUUUACAACGAUAAACAAGUUGUUUCACUUUAAAUUCUUUGUCUUUAAAAAUCAUUAAACUGAUUUUUUUUUAAAAUUGGAUAAAAUUUUCCCGUAAAAAGGAAUAACCUAAACAAUUUUAAUUAAAUUGGUUUGAUUUCUUUAGACUUUAAAGGAAAAAAAAGUAAAAAUAACUUGAUCUCAAAUCAGAUAAGAGUACCCGCUGAACUUAAGCAUAUCAAUAAGCGGAGGAAAAGAAACUAACUAGGAUUCCCUCAGUAACGGCGAGUGAAGCGGGAAGAGCUCAAAUUUGAAAUCUUCAAGGUUCUACCUUGACGAAUUGUAGUUUAAAGAAGUGUUUUCUGUUGGAAGUUUUGGUAAAAGUUCUUUGGAAUAGGACAUCAUAGAGGGUGAGAAUCCCGUAUUUGACCAUUAUUUCCAACUUUGUGAUACACUUUCAAAGAGUCGGAUUGUUUGGGAAUGCAGUCCAAAAUGGGUGGUAAAUUUCAUCUAAAGCUAAAUACUGGCGAGAGACCGAUAGCGAACAAGUACCGUGAGGGAAAGAUGAAAAGAACUUUGAAAAGAGAGUUAAACAGUACGUGAAAUUGUCAAAAGGGAAGCGUUUGACACCAGUGUUGUUUUCUCGAAAAUCAAUUAAAAAUGGUGGAUUUUGUGUUGUAUUGACUUUAUCAGCUUUCUGCACUUUUUUCCUAUCUUUUUUAAUGCACUUUUCGUUUAACAAGUCAACAUCAAUUUCUUUUGUUGUAAAAGAGUCAUUGGAAGGUGGCUUUCUUUUCGGAGAAAGUGUUAUAGCCUUUGCUUCUGCAAUCGGAGAGAUUGAGGUCUGCAGCGUAGAUCCUUCGGGGUUAGAUACAUUUGUGCUAAGUUAUAGCCUUUCAUAGACAACUUGUUGACUAU